GAUGAACGCUGGCGGCGUGCCUAACACAUGCAAGUCGAGCGAAGCGAUUAAGAGGAAGUUUUCGGAUGGAAACUUAAUUGACUGAGCGGCGGACGGGUGAGUAACGCGUGGGCAACCUGCCUUAUACAGGGGGAUAACAGUUAGAAAUGACUGCUAAUACCGCAUAAGCGCACAGGAACGCAUGUUCCGGUGUGAAAAACUCCGGUGGUAUAAGAUGGGCCCGCGUCUGAUUAGGUAGUUGGUGGGGCAGCGGCCUACCAAGCCGACGAUCAGUAGCCGACCUGAGAGGGUGACCGGCCACAUUGGGACUGAGACACGGCCCAA
rnacentral:rRNA from 1 species